rnacentral:misc_RNA from 1 species
UCCUCUUCCUCGGAUCGACGAGCUUUUCGACCAGCUUCAGGGUGCUCAGUUCUUCUCGAAGAUAGAUUUGAGAUCGGGUUAUCAUCAGCUGCGAGUCAGAGAGCAGGAUGUGCAGAAGACAGCGUUCCGGACACGCUAUGGCCACUAUGAGUUCCUUGUGAUGCCGUUCGGAUUGACGAAUGCCCCAGCAGUGUUCAUGGCCUUGAUGAACAAGAUCUUCGCUCCGUACCUCGACAGCUUCACCGUGGUCUUCAUCGACGAUGUUCUAGUCUACUCGAAGUCCAGAGAGGAGCAUGAGCACCAUUUGAGGACGUCUCUCCAGUUGCUACGCGACAACCAGUUGUACGCGAAGCUCAGCAAGUGCGAGUUCUGG